rnacentral:misc_RNA from 1 species
UUUCCGUAGGUGAACCUGCGGAAGGAUCAUUACUGAAUGAGGGCCCUCUGGGUCCAACCUCCCACCCGUGUUUAUUGUACAUUGUUGCUUCGGUGAGCCCGCCUCACGGCCGCCGGGUGGCAUCUGCCCACGCGCCCGCGCUCGCCGAAGACACCCAUGAACUCUGUCUGAAGUUUGCAGUCUGUGCGAAAACUAAAUAAGUUAAAACUUUCAACAACGGAUCUCUUGGUUCCG